rnacentral:rRNA from 1 species
CGAACGCUGGCGGCAGGCUUAACACAUGCAAGUCGAGCGCCUCGCAAGAGGAGCGGCAGACGGGUGAGUAACACGUGGGAAUCUACCCAUCCUUACGGAACAACUCCGGGAAACUGGAGCUAAUACCGUAUACGCCCUUCGGGGGAAAGAUUUAUCGAGGAUGGAUGAGCCCGCGUUGGAUUAGCUAGUUGGUGGGGUAAAGGCCUACCAAGGCGACGAUCCAUAGCUGGUCUGAGAGGAUGAUCAGCCACAUUGGGACUGAGACACGGCCCAAACUCCUACGGGAGGCAGCAGUGGGGAAUAUUGGACAAUGGGCGCAAGCCUGAUCCAGCCAUGCCGCGUGAGUGAUGAAGGCCCUAGGGUUGUAAAGCUCUUUCACCAGAGAAGAUAAUGACGGUAUCCGGAGAAGAAGUCCCGGCUAACUUCGUGCCAGCAGCCGCGGUAAUACGAAGGGGGCUAGCGUUGUUCGGAAUCACUGGGCGUAAAGCGCACGUAGGCGGAUUGUUAAGUCGGGGGUGAAAUCCUGAGGCUCAACCUCAGAACUGCCUCCGAUACUGGCAAUCUCGAGUUCGGAAGAGGUCGGUGGAACAGCUAGUGUAGAGGUGAAAUUCGUAGAUAUUAGCUAGAACACCAGUGGCGAAGGCGGCCGACUGGUCCGAUACUGACGCUGAGGUGCGAAAGCG